CACCAUGACUGGGAACAGAAAGGAAAGUCACAGUAGACUGCCAGCUCCCAUGUGUAAUCACAAUGGCAAGACCAGCUACCACUUCUCUGCCAUCCAGGACAACAAUACCUUCUAGUGGGAUCCCUGGAAUGAACCAGGGUUCUGCCCCAGAUAGUCACAGAAGCGCUAACUUAGAAGCAUUCUUGGAUGCCUGGCUCAGAAAGUGCCUUGAAACCCAGCUCCAUAUGAACAGAAAUCCUACAGGAUGCAUCUCCAGGAUUAGAAUUACUGACGUCUCAAACACUGAAGACAAACAUUUGGCUUUAUUUUUUAGCUAAAACUUGUUUAUUGGCCUACAAACAGUUAAGUUUCAUUACUGCAUUUUCAAAGACAA